UACGUAGGGUGCAAGCGUUGUCCGGAAUUAUUGGGCGUAAAGGGCUCGUAGGCGGUCCGUCACGUCGGGAGUGAAAACUUGGGGCUUAACCCCAAGCCUGCUUCCGAUACGGGCGGACUAGAGGUAGGCAGGGGAGAACGGAAUUCCUGGUGUAGCGGUGAAAUGCGCAGAUAUCAGGAGGAACACCGGUGGCGAAGGCGGUUCUCUGGGCCUUACCUGACGCUGGAGGAGCGAAAGCGUGGGGAGCGAACAGG
rnacentral:rRNA from 1 species